rnacentral:rRNA from 1 species
AUCGAACGCUGGCGGCAGGCUUAACACAUGCAAGUCGAACGAGUGGCGGACGGGCGAGUAAUGCUUGGGAAUCUAGCUUAUGGAGGGGGAUAACUACGGGAAACUGUAGCUAAUACCGCGUACCAUAGGAUGAGCCUAAGUGGGAUUAGGUAGUUGGUGAGGUAAAGGCUCACCAAGCCGCCGAUCUCUAGCUGGUCGGAGAGGAUGACCAGCCACACUGGAGCUGGAACGCGGCCCAGAGUCCUGCGGGAGGCAGCAAUGGAGAAUAUUACGCAAGGGGGGCAACCUUGCACAGCCAUGCCGCGUGAAUGAAGAAGGCCUUCGGUUUGUAAAGUUCUUUCGGUAGCGAGGCGUUAACUACAGAAGAAGCACCGGCUAACUCCGUGCCAGCAGCCGCGGUAAUUC